rnacentral:rRNA from 1 species
UACGUAGGGUGCAAGCGUUGUCCGGAACUAUUGGGCGUAAAGGGCUCGUAGGCGGUCUGUCACGUCGGGAGUGAAAACUCAGGGCCUAACCCUGAGCCUGCUUCCGAUACGGGCAGACUAGAGGUAUGCAGGGGAGAACGGAAUUCCUGGUGUAGCGGUGAAAUGCGCAGAUAUCGGGAGGAACACCAGUGGCGAAGGCGGUCUGCUGGGCCGUUGCUGACGCUGAGGCGCGACAGCGUGGGGAGCAAACAGG